rnacentral:rRNA from 1 species
CCUACGGGAGGCAGCAGUAGGGAAUAUUGCUCAAUGGGGGAAACCCUGAAGCAGCAACGCCGCGUGGAGGAUGAAGGUUUUCGGAUUGUAAACCUCUGUGGAGGGGGACGAUAAUGACGGUACCCCUUUAGGAAGCCACGGCUAACUACGUGCCAGCAGCCGCGGUAAUACGUAGGUGGCGAGCGUUGUCCGGAAUUACUGGGUGUAAAGGGAGUGUAGGCGGGAAAGCAAGUCAGAAGUGAAAACUAUGGGCUUAACCCAUAGCCUGCUUUUGAAACUGUUUUUCUUGAGUGAAGUAGAGGCAAGCGGAAUUCCUAGUGUAGCGGUGAAAUGCGUAGAUAUUAGGAGGAACACCAGUGGCGAAGGCGGCUUACCAAGCUACUUCUGACGUUGAGGCACGAAAGCGUGGGGAGCAAACAGGAUUAGAUACCCGAGUAGUC